UAGAGAAAUGCCCAGCUAAAAACACAGACCCGUCCGCGUGUAAACUGCCGGCCUACAAAGACGCCUGUUGGAAAUACAGUAACUGGGCUCCCCAGUACUGCCCUUUCUUCUGCGGACUUUGCUAGGCAUGAACAAACCUUACACAGAACUGAACAAAACUGUAACUGACUAUGUUACUGAAGUCAAUAUUGAAAUAAAAUUAAUUUAAUUACC